UUGUUUGAUGAAAAAGAGCGUGACGCUCGAAUUAACCCAGCUCGUUGAGGAGGGAGUAACGCCCCAAAUUCCUUUGAGAUGAUCUUUCAUUCUGAUCU
rnacentral:snoRNA from 1 species